rnacentral:rRNA from 1 species
ACGGAGGGAGCAAGCGUUGUUCGGAUUUACUGGGCGUAAAGGGCGUCUAGGCGGACUAGUCAGUCAGAUGUGAAACCCCCCGGCUUAACCGGGGAACUGCAUUUGAUACUACUGGUCUUGAGUACGGAAGAGGAAAGCGGAAUUCCUGGUGUAGCGGUGAAAUGCGUAGAUAUCAGGAAGAACACCGGUGGCGAAGGCGGCUUUCUGGUUCGAUACUGACGCUAAAGCGCGAAAGUGUGGGGAGCAAACAG